rnacentral:pre_miRNA from 1 species
AAUUUCAGCCGAAAAAGUCAUGAACAUAAAAGUUGUAGAACUCAUCAAGACAUACAACUUUUAUUUUGAUCAUUUCUUCAUCCGAUAAAGUUAUAGUAAUAUUGUUCACAAAAUUUGUAUAUCUCUUAUAGUUUAUAAAACCAUACGAGAGAAAUGUAAAUUUUGUGAACAAUGUUACUAUCACUUUGUCGGAUGAAGAAAUGAUCAAAAUAAAAGUUAUAGAUAUUGAUGAGUUAUACAACUUUAUUGUUGAUGACUUUUUCAGUUGAAAUC